rnacentral:lncRNA from 12 species
AUGCUGUCUUUGAAAAGGCAUGGUCCUUCUACAGGAGGGACCAGAGCAUACAGGCAUGUUGUGACAGGGAGCCUUGAACGCCUGGCUGAGGGUGAGGACCUGAUCUCUCUCUCCCCUUCCUCGGGACCGUGGAAGGAAGUGUUGCUCGACUCCAGCUCAGUGAGGAGGCUGACAGGAUUGCCUCACUUCCAGAUGACAGGCCCCAGCCUUCGUGGGCUGAACCCACUUCCUGUCCUUGUGCCUCUUUUGUCAUACGGUGAUUUCUCAUGCUUCCUGUUGACUUCUGCUUGGUUUUCAGCUGGUUCAGCGCUAGGAACCGUGUACUGCUGGUGGUCUGAUUGGUGAGGCACGGGACACAGGACCAGCCUUGUCAUUUCAUCAGAAUGGUUUGGGAGUGAACAAAACCAGUGCCACCUUGCCUGUGUAAAGGUAUGUGAGGAGAUCUUUUGUCUGGGGAUGGUCACAUUGUUUAUGUAGGUGUGAUGUCAAUAGCCCUUGGGGUUGCCAGGUGUUAACCAUGCUAGCAAUUAACAAUGUCGUGCCAUCCUCUCCUGCGGAGGCAGCUAUCACUCAGGGGUGUGGGUAGUGACACAAGGGGCCGGCUGGUUGGGAGCCAGGGCUGACAGUGAAGACAGAAGCUUGGGGGGAGUGGAGGCUCUGAAGCCAGGAACGCCACAAGGCUUCAGAUAGUUCCAGAACGGGAGGAAGCCCACAAUUCAGGUAGGUUGCUAGGGAAUAAUUAGGGCAGCUCCAAGAGAUUCAUGGGAGCAUGGCAGGAUAUCAGGUUCCAUUAAUGGGGAGGAAAAAAAGGCUAAGCAAAGACUUUUUUUAAAAGAUUUUAUUUAUUUCUAAGAGACACACAGAGAGAGGCAGAGACACAGGCAGAGGGAAAAGCAGGCUUCCUGUGGGGAGCCCGAUGUGGGACUCGAUCCCAGGACCCCAGGGUCACGCCCUGAGCCGAAGGCAGAUGCUCAAUCACUGAGCCACCCAGGUGCCCCAGAAGUGGGUAUUCUUAAAUCAGACAUGAACUGGUUAUCAUGCCUUAUCUUAGAAGGGGGAAUUUAUCAUCUGACCGAAGGCUGGGCAUUCUGUAGACCACUUAGCAAGUGGUUCACCCAAUUGGUAUUUAUUGGCUGCCCACUCUAUGCCAGGCACUGUGAUAGAAAGUAAGAUGAGCUUCUCUAUCUAGGGCAUUGGCAUACAUUAUUAUGUUCUUAAUUCCACAUCUCUGUUGCAUUUUAUAUAGCAGUCUUCUAUUUUAAGGGUCUUGUCAGUUUUAUAGAGAAGACGAUCCCAUGACAUUAAGCCCGAUAUUCCCUCUGGGAGCAGCCCCUGCCACACCUUAUGCUCUUACCCUGGGCAUCUUUCUUCAUAGCAUCUGUCAUGAUCUGACAGAAAUAAAUUGAUCUGUUUGCUUAUUAUCCA